rnacentral:rRNA from 1 species
AGUGAACGCUGGCGGCAGGCCUAACACAUGCAAGUCGAACGGCAGCACGAGGCUUCCUGCUCUCUUCGUCGCGAGACGCGGGCGUGAUACGUAUGCAUCUGCCUCGUCCCGUUUGUUGGGGUUCGCCUCGGGACACUGGUACCACUUCCGCCCACAGCCUGCGGGUGGAAGCUCUUCGUCUCUCGCCCUUUCACAGAAGGCUAGGCCGGAUUAGGUAGUUGGGGGGGGAAAGGCCUACCAAGGCGACGGUCCGUAACUGGGCUGAGUGGAUGAGCAGUCACACUGGAACUGAGACACGGUCCAGACUCCUACGGGAGGCAGCAGUGGGGAAUAUUGGACAAUGGGCGAAAGCCUGAUCCAGCCAUGCCGCGUGGGUGAAGAAGGUCUUCGGAUUGUAAAGCACUUUAAGUUGGGAGGAAGGGCAGUAAGUUAAUACCUUGCUGUUUUGACGUUACCAACAGAAUAAGCACCGGCUAACUUCGUG